GAGUUUGAUCGUGGCUCAGAUUGAACGCUGGCGGCAGGCCUAACACAUGCAAGUCGAGCGGAUGACGGGAGCUUGCUCCUUGAUUCAGCGGCGGACGGGUGAGUAAUGCCUAGGAAUCUGCCUGGUAGUGGGGGACAACGUUUCGAAAGGAACGCUAAUACCGCAUACGUCCUACGGGAGAAAGCAGGGGACCUUCGGGCCUUGCGCUAUCAGAUGAGCCUAGGUCGGAUUAGCUAGUUGGUGGGGUAAUGGCUCACCAAGGCGACGAUCCGUAACUGGUCUGAGAGGAUGAUCAGUCACACUGGAACUGAGACACGGUCCAGACUCCUACGGGAGGCAGCAGUGGGGAAUAUUGGACAAUGGGACGAAAGCCUGAUCCAGCCAUGCCGCGUGUGUGAAGAAGGUCUUCGGAUUGUAAAAGCACUUUAAGUUGGGAGGAAGGGCAGUAAGUUAAUACCUUGCUGUUUUGACGUUACCGACAGAAUAAGCACCGGCUAACUCUGUGCCAGCCGCCG
rnacentral:rRNA from 1 species